rnacentral:rRNA from 1 species
GACGAACGCUGGCGGCGUGCUUAACACAUGCAAGUCGAACGGAAAGGCCCUGCUUGCAGGGUACUCGAGUGGCGAACGGGUGAGUCACACGUGGGUGAUCUGCCCUGCACUUCGGGAUAAGCCUGGGAAACUGGGUCUAAUACCGGAUAGGAGCCAUUUUUAGUGUGAUGGUUGGAAAGUUUUUUCGGUGUAGGAUGAGCUCGCGGCCUAUCAGCUUGUUGGUGGGGUAAUGGCCUACCAAGGCGGCGACGGGUAGCCGGCCUGAGAGGGUGGACGGCCACAUUGGGACUGAGAUACGGCCCAGACUCCUACGGGAGGCAGCAGUGGGGAAUAUUGCACAAUGGGCGCAAGCCUGAUGCAGCGACGCCGCGUGGGGGAUGACGGCCUUCGGGUUGUAAACUCCUUUCGCUAGGGACGAAGCUUUUUGUGACGGUACCUAGAUAAGAAGCACCGGCUAACUACGUG